CCCUUAGAUGUUCUGGGCCGCACGCGCGCUACACUGAUGCAUUCAACGAGUUUCUUCCUGGUCCGAGAGGAAUGGGUAACCUUUUGAAAGUGCAUCGUGAUAGGGAUAGACUAUUGCAAUUAUUGGUCUUCAACGAGGAAUUCCUAGUAGACGUAGUUCAUCAGACUGCAUCGAUUACGUCCCUGCCCUUUGUACACACCGCCCGUCGCUCCUACCGAUUGAACGAUCCGGUGAAUUAUUUGGAGUAGCUCUGGAAGUUGCAGAACUUCCUAUGUCACGAAAUUUUGUAAACCUUAUCGUUUAGAGGAAGGAAAAGUCGUAACA
rnacentral:rRNA from 1 species